rnacentral:RNase_P_RNA from 1 species
GGAGUCGGCCAGACAGUCGCCGUCAUUCUUUAGAAUGGCAGAGGAAAGUCCGGGCUCCGCAGGGCAGGGUGCCAGGUAACGCCUGGGGGGCGCAAGCCUACGGAAAGUGCCACAGAAAAGAUACCGCCAACGGCCUCGGCCAAGGUAAGGGUGAAAUGGUGCGGUAAGAGCGCACCGCGCUUCUGGCAACAGAAGUGGCAGGGUAAACCCCACCCGGAGCAAGACCAAAUAGGGGAACCAUGUGCGGCCCGCACAGUUCCCGGGUAGGUUGCUUGAGGUGUGUGGCGACACACAUCCCAGAUGAAUGACUGUCCACGACAGAACCCGGCUUACCGGCCGGCUCCCACU